ACUCAAAUGAAUUGACGGGGACCCGCACAACCUGUGGAGCGUGUGGUUCAAUUCGAGACAAAACGAAGGACCUCACCAGGGUUUGACAUGCUAGAGUUCCAUCUCCAAGAAACUGGAGAAAGUCGCAAGAGGCUAGCACAGGUGCUGCAUGGUUGUCGUCAGCUCGUGCCGUGAGGUGUUCCCUUAAGUGGGGAAACGAGCGCAACCCCCAUCUAAUGUUAUAUUAUUCAUUGGAAACUGACCUUGUUUUAAGCAAGGAAGGAAGGAGGGGAAGACGUCAAAUCAGCAUGGCCUUUAUACCCUGGGCCACACACACACUACAAUGGCGAAAAACAAUGGGCUGCCAUCACGCAAGUGAGAGCUAAUCCCUGAAAUUUCGCCUCAGUUCAGAUUGGAGUCUGCAACUCGACUCCAUGAAGCCGGAAUAGGUAGUAAUCGCGGAUCAGCAAUGCCGCGGUGAAUACGUUCUCGGGUCUUGUACACACCGCCCGU
rnacentral:rRNA from 1 species